rnacentral:lncRNA from 1 species
CAUAAUUAGAAAAGUAUCACCAUUUUCCUGGGACAAAAAUAUGUAAGUUUAAACAUUUUUAGUGCCAGGUCAGUAGUCACGAUUUACCAACAGCAUUUUUUAUUUUAAAAAUACAGUUAGUGACUACACCAUUGGCUAACAAACUGAGACUUAAAGCAUUCUCUAGAUGCAAAUGCUACAAAUAAAUCAAAUUAUUAGGCAUAUUCACUAAUACUUACAAACUUAACUUCAUAUAUAAAGCAAGGUAGAUCACCAGUGUGGCCAUGCAAACAGGGUUUGAGGACUUCAAUAUUUAAAGCAAGUUAGUCCAACCCACAGCCCAAGGGCCACAUGCAGCCCAGGAUGGCUUUGAAUGAGGCCCAACACAAAUUAGCAAAUUACUAAACUUACUUAAAAUGAUGGGAUUUUAUUUUUUGCCAUUUUUUGGUUUGUGUGUUUGGUUUUUAGCUCAUCAGCUUUGUUAGUGUUAGUGUAUUUUAUGUGUGGCCCAAGACAAUACUUCCAAUGUGGCCCAGGGAAGCCAAAAGAUUGGACACUCCUGAUUUAAAGGGAAAAGGGAGGGCAGAUGAAGAAAGAGGAUAAAAAAAAGAGAGAGAAGGUAGACAAAACAGGAAAGUGGUUAGUCUUUGGAGGCUUUGAUUAGCACUUACUGAAUCUACAUUUUACAUGUGAAAGGAGUGGGUAGCGAAACAGUGAAUUAUGCAUAGUGCUCAGUGCGUCUGCAUUUUUGCAUAAGAUAAAGUAAACAUAGAGGAGGUGCUCAAAUAUGCAUUCCUCUCAGGUGAGCCAAGGGAUGCCCUCUAGGCCUGUCUUUGUCAAGGUACCGGUGAAGAUAAGCUGUUAGUUUACAUUGUCAAGGUGAAAUAGAACAGCGUUCUGUUUUAGGGUAAAGCUCUUGGGGCCCACGAGGAAUUUCCUUGUGAGCAAUUUGUGAAGGAGGCCACCGGGGGAGACAUGUGGCCUUCUGUCUUUGCAGCUAUCUACUUAGGAACAAAAUGGAAGGCAGUUUUUGCAUGAUGCAGUUACUGAGCUUCACUUUUCCCUUUGGCAUAGUGAGUUUGGGGUCCUGAGAUUUUUAUAUUCCUUUCACAGCCUCACUAUACUUGAAUUAAAAUACAAUCUACAUGUUAAAACUGACCACAUCAUUCUUUCCUGUGUGUCUUCAAAGGAUUUAAGGCCCAUCCAGAUAAUCCAAGAUGAUCUCAUUUCAAAGCCUUAAUUAUAUCUUUGAUGACUCUUUUUCCAAAUAAGGUCUCAAUUAGAGGUUCCUGGAAUAAGACACGGACUCAUCUCCCUGGGGGCCACCAUUCAGCCUGAUCCGGAAGGAAGGCCAUGAUUUCAGCUCUCUGGGAUUUGAGACAAAGAGGCCCCUUUUCUUUCAUUUUAUCUUUUCAUGUCUCUUCUUGCCAUGUACCCACAUGAUUGAGUGUGGGCUGAGGGUGAAUCCAAGAAGGGCUUUGUUUUGUGGUCAGUACAGGCUUUGGUCCACAGAGACAACAAUACUUUCAAUACUCUUUUGUUCUGCCCCAGAGGAGCUCAACACAGAAUUGCCUAGAACAAGAAACUGGUGAGAGAAGCUGCAGCCUGUUGAGACUCCACAAGACUGAAGAUAUGAAAAGAGGAAAUAUGCAUGAAUGCCCGCACGGAGAACCACCCCCACCUGCUGCUCCCGCUCUAAUGAUCACGCCCAUUAUCAACUGGGGGAUGGCUCUGUGCCUUGUCCUUGCAUUACAUGGACCAAGAACACUUCACAGGACUCAGAGAGGCAAAAAUAGAUACAAAAGAAGAAGGAAUUACAGAAGAAGUCACAUAACAUUAUUGCCUACAACUGACUGUUUACCUUGAAUACUUGAAGACCAGAAUGAAGAUUCUUGGGGUGAAGAAUUACAGCCUUAGCAUGGAGCAGGCCUCGGUGCAUCGGCUUUCAGCUAGGCAUGCCUGCCAAUGUUCAACGUCCUCCUGGGAUACGGAAGGCACCGUGAUAGACAUCUGGGCAAGUCAACAGGAAGGUGGAUAUCCAAAUCUCUCUCUUCGCAAUGAGUUUCCAGUUAGAUGGAGGAGAGAGUAAUAAAACACAGAGCUGAGAUUCCUGACUUCACAGAUCCCUGAGGAGAUGUUUACUAAAGGGAAUCUUCUGGUCACUGUUACCUUCCUCCGUACUUACCUGCCUCAUGGAGAACCCGAAAGGAAGAAGCUAUACGACUGGGGACACAUGUCUUAGAAGCACACUCAUUAGAUAAAGUGUCGCAUACUCUUUGAUAAGAACAUGGCUACCGACAACGUCCCAGGGCUGAAGAGAAACGUCAACCAAGAAGAUACCAAUAUGAACCCUUUUUAAUAGAGAGAGAUGGAGAAGGAGAAACCUCAGAGACUUGCCUUCUGACUUUAUUUUUCCCCCCAAAAGAGAUGGGCUUAUUUUCUGCAAGAAAAGAGGCUUAGAAGGCAUUUUUAAAAGGAGCCAAUAUUAAAGUUUUGUGAAAGUUUUUCUAGGGAAGGAGAGUUAUUGAUGGUAGGAUGGUGUGGCAUGUUCGGUAUAGAUGAUAGAAGUGAGGGUGUGUUAGGGCCCAGGUAAAGGCAGGACACCAUGUGUGUUUAGUGGGCUGACUUUCUCCUCGUUUGCUUUUCAUCAGCAAUGGUCAAUAACUCCUGUGUGUCAGAUGGUUACUAGAGGAGGAUGUUAGACAGCUGCUAGGUGAGCCCAGCAUCUUUACAUGAACAACCCAAGGGGACACUGCAAGUUUAUUCAACCUUAUCUGUGUUAGAGUAUCUUCAUGGCCACACGGUAGGUUGUGAGAUGGACAUAUAAAGUUUUAGUAAAAUCACUUUUCAGAUUUCCUUGUAGAUAUGUCUAACCCUUAACUUCCAAGGAAAAGCAACAUUUUAAAAAAUAAGUCAGGCCUUCUUAGUAAAUAUGUGUUGAAUUACUAAUUUUAUAAAUUGAACUCACAAAGAAAUAACAUUUGAUUUAUAAAUAUGGGUAUGUGUGGUUAUUUCAUCCUUGGAGAAACUUCAGGAGCGACCCUUUGCUCUUUAUAAAUCCACUGACUCAGGCAGAGUCAUAGGCAACAGAAAGAAGCCCACAUUCUUGCCUCACUAGUUCAUUAGUUUUUAAGCAAGAUAUUUAAAAAUUACCUCUAGCACACUAAAAAGUACUGUCUUGCCAAAACUUUAGUUUUUUUUCCUUUCUCUUUUUGUUUGUUUGCAAGGGGCAGUCUAAAUAGAAUAUCAACUUAAAGAAGGCCAGGGCAUGGUAAAUUAAUUUCUUUAUAAUCUUAUUUUCUAUUUCUCCUUUUUCUUAUUUUUUCUUUCUUCUUCUCAGUUGAAAUACUCUUUUCAAUAUUUGUUAAUUACCUAUCCUGAUAUUUUUAAACCAUCAUCUCCCUCUCUCCAAGCUUUCCUUAUUCUCAUUCCCCAAAUAAUGUAAGUCUAAGGAAGCGUCUUUCUAAAAGCUUUCCCACAGGUAGGUGAUAAAAAGCUGAGGAGAUUUUCUUCUUUCUUUUCAGUGGGUGUUGGUGUGAUCAGUGACGGGAGAAAGCAGCUUCCCGUGCAGUGCAGUUCUUGUAAAGGGAGGAGUAGAGGGGUGGUGUCUGUUUGAUGAAUAGCUUUCAUUGUUUUUUAUUUAUUUUCCCCAAAG